ensembl:lncRNA
AGACACAAGGUAAUAAUUUUAUUAUAAGAAUGAGAGAAAGCAGCCAUUACAGGAGGUCAUAGGAGUGAGACAAGGCUUCUGAUUUUGAAUCUUCUGAUGCUGUUUAGUAAUGAGUUUCAAGGGUACAAAGCAUGUUUAUACUCAAACAAUGAUUAGAUCUGUAUUAUCAAAGUAGUAUAUUUUUACAUGUGUGAUUUGUCGGGUUUUUUUUGUAGUGCCAUCAUGGUACCAGAGAACUAGAACUUUGCAAAGAGCUUCUACAUGCCAGACACUUUCCAAGUUCAGUUUUAUUACUUUCCUGCACAUUCUGAUGGGGAAGAUGUUUUACAUGAGGGUGAGAUAUUGAACAAUGCCAGAUGCCCGUGCUACAGUUUCAAUCCAUAUUUCUUAGCACUUUCAAUUUUAGAGUUGCUGUUUCUACUAGUGAUUUCAAGGUCCAUCAGAAUUUAUAUUCAUCCAAACACAAUGAACAACUCUUUCUAUUCAAAUGUAAUAUUCAUACAAAUUCUAAAUCCUUGACCUCAAAGGCAGCAGAUCAAAGAAAGUUGCAAACCCUAAGAAGAAAGACCCAUAACGUCUAUGGAUCAACUGGAAUAAGUACACAGACUGGCAACAGGUGUUUUUACUGGACCCAGUUUGGCAUAAAAGAGCAGGGGAGGUAGAACUUAAAAAAAUCAUAUAGCACCCCCCAUUAUUUGCAGGAAGCAGCCUGUCAUCAAGGCAGGGUCAGACAGCAAGAAUGCAAUGAGAGAUGCCUCAGAGCCAGUGAUCUCUGGCGGCUAGGGAGAGUUAAGGCCAAAAGAAUUCACUCAAAAAUACAAUCUUUUAUCAUGAGGAACUUACGUGUCUGUGAACAGCAAGAAUUCUUGAUUGGUCUAGAACCUGGACAUGGUAUCGCUCUCACACAAAUCUCUUGUCAGUAGCUUGUCCAGAAAAAAAACUUCAUCUUAUUAAAAAAAUGAGCAUCUAUGCAAAGCUACUACAAGAAAAUUAAGGAAAAAUAGAUAUAAUGGAAGAUAAAUACAUCUUUCAUUGCAGAACAGGAAAAAUGUUUCCAUAUAGUAGACAAAAACUGGGCCAAGCAUACUGCCAUAAACUUGAAAACAAACAAAAAGACCAAACUAAAGCUACCAUAUCUAUAAAGAAAGAGCCCAUAUUAAAUAUACAAGAGCUAGGGAAGCUGUGGCAAGAUAAUGGGAAGUGAAAUACGAUUUGAAAGAACCCAGGAAACAAUUCACUGGCAGCAACCAGAUUUUGCCAAAAACAUGGAAAGAAACAAGAGUGUCAGAAAUAAACAAAAAGAAGAAAUGGAAAGUUCAAAGUAGAAAAAAAGAAACUUAAAAGAAUUAGAAAAAAAUAGUAGCAAGGCAGGACAGAUUAAAGAGGUCUUAACACAUGCAGUAACUUAGUAUCCUGAUGAAGAUGUAAAAUAUAACAACAUAGGAAAAAAGCUAAAGAUAUACUUCAAAGUAACUUUCUAGAAAUAUAUCAUAAACCUACAGACUGAGAGGGCAU